rnacentral:rRNA from 1 species
UGGGGAAUAUUGCACAAUGGGCGCAAGCCUGAUGCAGCCAUGCCGCGUGUGUGAAGAAGGCCUUCGGGUUGUAAAGCACUUUCAGCGGGGAGGAAGGCGAUAAGGUUAAUAACCUUGUCGAUUGACGUUACCCGCAGAAGAAGCACCGGCUAACUCCGUGCCAGCAGCCGCGGUAAUACGGAGGGUGCAAGCGUUAAUCGGAAUUACUGGGCGCAAAGCGCACGCAGGCGGUCUGUCAAGUCGGAUGUGAAAUCCCCGGGCUUAACCUGGGAACUGCAUUCGAAACUGGCAGGCUAGAGUCUUGUAGAGGGGGGUAGAAUUCCAGGUGUAGCGGUGAAAUGCGUAGAGAUCUGGAGGAAUACCGGUGGCGAAGGCGGCCCCCUGGACAAAGACUGACGCUCAGGUGCGAAAGCGUGGGGAGCAAACAGG